rnacentral:rRNA from 1 species
CAAUAGCGUAUAUUUAAGUUGUUGCAGUUAAAAAGCUCGUAGUUGGAUUUCGGGUGGGACGCAGCGGUCUCGCAUUGCGUUUGUACUGCUGCAGCCCUCCUUCUUGCCGGGGGCGGCCUCUCGGACUUCACUGUCUGGGGGUCAGAAUCGGCGAUUUUACUUUGAGUAAAUUAGAGUGUUCAAAGCAAGCUUACGCUCUGAAUAUAAUAGCAUGGGAUAACACGACAGGACUCUGGCCUAUCGUGUUGGUCUAUAGGACCAGAGUAAUGAUUAAGAGGGACAGUCGGGGGCAUUCGUAUUCCGUUGUCAGAGGUGAAAUUCUUGGAUUUACGGAAGACGAACAUCUGCGAAAGCAUUUGCCAAGGAUGUUUUCAUUGA